rnacentral:tRNA from 1 species
GAGGGUGUAGCUCAGUGGUAGAGUGCAUGCCUAGCAUGCAUGAGGUCCUGGGUUCAAUUCCCAGUACCUCUA